rnacentral:rRNA from 1 species
UACAGAGGUCUCAAGCGUUGUUCGGAUUCAUUGGGCGUAAAGGGUGCGUAGGUGGCGUGGUAAGUCGGGUGUGAAAUUUCGGAGCUUAACUCCGAAACUGCAUUCGAUACUGCCCGUGCUUGAGGACUGGAGAGGAGACUGGAAUUUACGGUGUAGCAGUGAAAUGCGUAGAGAUCGUAAGGAAGACCAGUGGCGAAGGCGGGUCUCUGGACAGUUCCUGACACUGAGGCACGAAGGCCAGGGGGAGCAAACGGG